GAAAUGCGAUAAGUAAUAUGAAUUGCGGAAUUCAGUGAAUCAUCGAAUCUUUGAACGCACAUUGCGCCCGCCAGUAUUCUGGCGGGCAUGCCUGUCCGAGCGUCAUUUCAACCAUCAAGCCCCCGGGCUUGUGUUGGGGACCUGCGGCUGCCCGCAGGCCCUGAAAACCAGUGGCGGGCUCGCUGUCACACCGAGCGUAGUAGCAAUCACCUCGCUCAGGGCGUGCUGCGGGUUCCGGCCGUUAAACAGCCUUACAAAACCCAAGGUUGACCUCGGAUCAGGUAGGAAGACCCGCUGAACUUAAGC
rnacentral:misc_RNA from 1 species